GACGAACGCUGGCGGCGUGCCUAAUACAUGCAAGUAGAACGCUGAAGAGAGGAGCUUGCUCUUCUUGGAAGAGUUGCGAACGGGUGAGUAACGCGUAGGUAACCUGCCUUGUAGCGGGGGAUAACUAUUGGAAACGAUAGCUAAUACCGCAUAACAAUGGAUGACACAUGUCAUUUAUUUGAAAGGGGCAACUGCUCCACUACAAGAUGGACCUGCGUUGUAUUAGCUAGUAGGUGAGGUAACGGCUCACCUAGGCGACGAUACAUAGCCGACCUGAGAGGGUGAUCGGCCACACUGGGACUGAGACACGGCCCAGACUCCUACGGGAGGCAGCAGUAGGGAAUCUUCGGCAAUGGGGGCAACCCUGACCGAGCAACGCCGCGUGAGUGAAGAAGGUUUUCGGAUCGUAAAGCUCUGUUGUAAGUCAAGAACGAGUGUGAGAGUGGAAAGUUCACACUGUGACGGUAGCUUACCAGAAGGGGACGGCUAACUACGUGCCAGCAGCCGCGGUAAUACGUAGGUCCCGAGCGUUGUCCGGAUUUAUUGGGCGUAAAGCGAGCGCAGGCGGUUUGAUAAGUCUGAAGUUAAAGGCUGUGGCUCAACCAUAGUUCGCUUUGGAAACUGUCAAACUUGAGUGCAGAAGGGGAGAGUGGAAUUCCAUGUGUAGCGGUGAAAUGCGUAGAUAUAUGGAGGAACACCGGUGGCGGAAGCGGCUCUCUGGUCUGUAACUGACGCUGAGGCUCGAAAGCGUGGGGAGCGAACAGG
rnacentral:rRNA from 1 species